GGGCGGGGUCUAAGGUAUAAGCACUCUUGUACCGUGAAACUGCGAAUGGCUCAUUAAAUCAGUUAUCGUUUAUUUGAUAGUACCCUACUACAUGGAUACCUGUGGUAAUUCUAGAGCUAAUACAUGCGCAAAACCCCGACUUCGGAAGGGGUGUAUUUAUUAGAUAAAAAACCAAUGCCCCUCGGGGCUCCUUGGUGAUUCAUAAUAACUUCACGAAUCGCAUGGCCUUGCGCCGGCGAUGGUUCAUUCAAAUUUCUGCCCUAUCAACUUUCGAUGGUAGGAUAGUGGCCUACCAUGGUGGCAACGGGUAACGGGGAAUUAGGGUUCGAUUCCGGAGAGGGAGCCUGAGAAACGGCUACCACAUCCAAGGAAGGCAGCAGGCGCGCAAAUUACCCAAUCCCGAUACGGGGAGGUAGUGACAAUAAAUACUGAUACAGGGCUCUUUUGGGUCUUGUAAUUGGAAUGAGAACAAUCUAAAUCCCUUAACGAGGAACAAUUGGAGGGCAAGUCUGGUGCCAGCAGCCGCGGUAAUUCCAGCUCCAAUAGCGUAUAUUAAAGUUGUUGCAGUUAAAAAGCUCGUAGUUGAACCUUGGGCCCGUCCUGCCGGUCCGCCUCACCGCGAGUACUGGUCCGGAUGGGCCUUUCUUUCUGGGGAAUCCCAUGGCCUUCACUGGCUGUGGCGGGGAACCAGGACUUUUACUGUGAAAAAAUUAGAGUGUUCAAAGCAGGCCUUUGCUCGGAUACAUUAGCAUGGAAUAAUAGAAUAGGACGUGCGGUUCUAUUUUGUUGGUUUCUAGGACCGCCGUAAUGAUUAAUAGGGAUAGUCGGGGGGCGUCAGUAUUCAGCUGUCAGAGGUGAAAUUCUUGGAUUUGCUGAAGACUAACUACUGCGAAAGCAUUCGCCAAAGGAUGUUUUCAUUAAUCAGGGAACGAAAGUUAGGGGAUCGAAAGACGAUCAGAUACCGUG
rnacentral:rRNA from 1 species